AGCUUAACCCCAACGAUGCCGUGGACACCCGUGAAUGGGGUGACUUUGACAUAAUCAAAGAUCAAGGACCUAACCACAAGACAAAUGUUAUGCCUCAGGUCAAAGGACUAAUUUGCAUUAUCCCAACAAUGAGUUCUCAUGUGACAUGAAUAUGAGAACUCUUCGUUGAUCGUGUUCAGUGAACUCAUUCUCUAUUGAGCACCUACGUACUUGUCUUGAUGUCACACACACCAUUGACUCGAGACUAGUCACUCUCCCUGAGAGAAGACAUAGCAUGUACUGAUCUUAACGGACUGUCAAUGCCCAAUUGGCAAUCCUAUGAUCAGGAACGUUUAGGAUGUGUCUACGAAAAAAUGGUCUCAUGAAUCUAACUUCUUUAGAUUACAUUCUUCCAAUCACAAAUUCCUUGGACUUAUUCUUUAAGCAUAUAACAUUUAUAUGAGACGGCUUAAAACAAUAAUCUAUGCCCUUGAUAUUAAACUAGAUUAGUUUA
rnacentral:lncRNA from 1 species